rnacentral:tRNA from 1 species
GGAGAUGUAGCUCAGAAGUAGAGUGCUUACCUAGCAUGUAUGAGGCCUUGGGUUUGAUCACCAGCACCUCCA